UCUUCUUACUAACUUUGCAUCAAUUAUUCAAACUCACUAGCUAUAUCUCAUCAAUUUGCAAGACAUAAGCCAUUAUCAUCUUGCAAUUGUGCACAAUAUUACUCACCAUGGUUCGUCAAUCGGUGAAUAUUACACAAGCAAACCUAGCUCAAGUGUUGAAUUCCAUGUCAAACCUAGCUAGAUCAACGUUCAAGCGUGGCGGACCAAGAAGGUCAGACGCGAGCCAAGGAGGUGGCGGACAAAUUAAUAGCAUUGGAACAAAGGAGAAGAAGAAGGGAUAACAAUUAACAACUCCAAAAAUUCAGAUUCAGAAUGAUGACUAUAUAUCUUGGAUUAAAGCUAGCUAGCUAUAAAGACAAAAAAAAAAAAAAAAAAAAAACUAGCUAGCUAUAAUAAAAGAAGUGGCUAAUAACAAAUAAAUAGUAUAUAUAUGGCAACUUUAAUAUUUGCAAAUUUUAAUAAGAGAGAUUAUUUGAGUGUUAGUUGUGGUGAGUGAUUGUAGACUAGUAGAUUAAUAAAUAAGAAAAAAAAUGUAAAUUCAGCUUGUCAUGUAUAAUUGUGCUUCAUCAUAUGCAGAUACUGUAUUGGCUAUAAAGAGAUGAAUAUAGCUUAUGAGGUGUAGGAUAAUUGAUGAAUAAGAUAAUUUGAGUUUCUUUCA